AUUGGACAAAGUAGAUUUUGAAGACAACCAAGAGUGUUUGGAUCUCUUUGAGAAGAAACCUAUAGGGCUAAUAUCUUUGUUGGAUGAAGAUUCAAAUUUCCCCAAGGCCACUGAUUUGACCUUUGCUAAUAAGCUUAAGCAACACUUGAGUGGUAAUCCUUGCUUUAAAGGAGAAAGAGGUGGAGCUUUUGGUAUUUGCCAUUAUGCUGGAGAGUUUAUGCAGAUGGAAGUAUUUGUCUGGAUAUUCUACAAAAUCAGUGGAGUCCAAUAUAUGAUAUAGCUGCUAUACUGACAUCUAUCCAGUCAUUGCUCUGUGAUCCAAACACAAACCCAAGCCCAAAUGCAGGUUUUCUCAUUUCA